UAGGACAGUGAGGAGAAGGG
rnacentral:misc_RNA from 1 species